CAAUGGCAGGUACANCGGGAAGCCAGGCGGCGACGCCGAGCGGAACCCGAAAAACCCUAGUCUCAGUUCGGAUCGGAGUCUGCAACCCGACUCCGUGAAGCUGGAUUCGCUAGUAAUCGCGCAUCAGCCAUGGCGCGGUGAAUACGUUCCCGGGCCUUGUACACACCGCCCGUCAAGCCAUGGAAGCCGGGGUGCCUGAAGUGUGCAGCCGCAAGGAGCGCCCUAAGGUAAAACCGGUGACUGGGGCUAAGUCGUAACAAGGUACC
rnacentral:rRNA from 1 species